rnacentral:rRNA from 1 species
CAGUAGCCACGGUAAUACAGAGGGUGCGAGCGUUAAUCGGAAUUACUGGGCGUAAAGGGUGCGUAGGUGGUAGGGUAUGUGUGAUGUGAAAGCCCCGGGCUUAACCUGGGAAGUGCAUCGCAAACUGCUCAACUGGAGUACAAGAGAGGGUAGCGGAAUUUCCGGUGUAGCGGUGAAAUGCGUAGAUAUCGGAAGGAACGUCAAUGGCGAAGGCAGCUGCCUGGCUUGAUACUGACACUGAGGCACGAAAGCGUGGGGAGCGAACAGGAUUAGAUACCCCAGUAGUCCCUGUCUCUUAUAC